rnacentral:ncRNA from 1 species
UGCGUUGAGGUACAGCAGUUGACUAGACAUCUAGAGGUAAAGCACUAUUUCGGUGCGGGCUGCGAGAGCGGUACCAAAUUGAGGCAAACUCUGAAUACUAGGUAUGGCCUUAAAAUUAAAAAAGAGGGAUCAAAGUCGGCUAGUGAGACGAUGGGGGAUAGGCUUCAUCAUCGAGAGGGAAAUAGCCC